GAUAAAUGGCAAACAAAACUUACACAAAAAAUAAACAACUAUAAGCCAACAAUUUGAUCAAUAGAAAGAGGGUUAGAAUAUAUAAUACAAUAAAUUAUAUUGUAUAAAAGUAUUUAUAUUUUUUUUUUUUAAUUAAUUAAUUUAAGUAAUGUUUUGGCUUUGAUGUGCAGCUGAGAAGGCUUACAUUUUCAAUUAAAUUUGUUUAUAUAGGUAUUUUCUGGUCUAGUGUGAAGAAGUUUAGGUUAAAUUUGUAUAAUACUAUCCUU